ensembl:snRNA U1 U1 spliceosomal RNA
AUCCUUACCUGGCAGGGGAGAUGCCACGGUAAUGAAGGGGGUUUUCCCAGGCUGAGGCUUAUCCAACGCACUCCAGAUAAGCUGACCCCCAUGACUGCCACAAACUCAACAGCAUACUUGGUGGUGGUGGGGGAGCUGGAUACACAUUCUUCCCUGU